GUGGGUAUAGCUCAGUGGUAGAGAGCAUGAUGCAUGCACAAGGUCCUGGGUUCAAUCCCCAGUACCUCUA
rnacentral:tRNA from 1 species